rnacentral:rRNA from 1 species
GAUGAACGCUGGCGGCGUGCCUAAUACAUGCAAGUCGAGCGAACAGACGAGUAGCUUGCUCCUCUGACGUUAGCGGCGGACGGGUGAGUAACACGUGGGUAACCUACCUAUAAGACUGGGAUAACUUCGGGAAACCGGAGCUAAUACCGGAUAAUAUAUUGAACCGCAUGGUUCAAUAGUGAAAGACGGUUUUGCUGUCACUUAUAGAUGGAUCCGCGCCGCAUUAGCUAGUUGGUAAGGUAACGGCUUACCAAGGCGACGAUGCGUAGCCGACCUGAGAGGGUGAUCGGCCACACUGGAACUGAGACACGGUCCAGACUCCUACGGGAGGCAGCAGUAGGGAAUCUUCCGCAAUGGGCGAAAGCCUGACGGAGCAACGCCGCGUGAGUGAUGAAGGUCUUCGGAUCGUAAAACUCUGUUAUUAGGGAAGAACAAAUGUGUAAGUAACUAUGCACGUCUUGACGGUACCUAAUCAGAAAGCCACGGCUAACUACGUG